rnacentral:rRNA from 1 species
AACGAACGUUGGCGGCGUGGAUGAGGCAUGCAAGUCGAACGUGAAAGCCGCAAGGUGAGUAGCGUGGCGGACGGGCGAGUAACACGUAAUCAAGCUGCCUGCGAGACGGGGAUAACCUCGGGAAACCGAGGCUAAGACCCGAUGGUCUGCCUGGGGACGCAUGUUCCUGGUAGUAAAUGGGCGGGAUCCUUCGGGAUCGCCUGCUCGCAGAGGUGAUUGCGGCCCAUCAGCUAGUUGGUAGGGUAAUGGCCUACCAAGGCAACGACGGGUAGCCGGCCUUAGAGGGUGGUCGGCCGCACUGGGACUGAGACACUGCCCAGACUCCUACGGGAGGCUGCAGUCGAGAAUCUUCCGCAAUGGGCGAAAGCCUGACGGAGCGACGCCG